AAUGAACGCUGGCGGCGCGCCUAAUACAUGCAAGUCGAGCGAGAAGACGUAGCAAUACGUUUGUAAAGCGGCGAACGGGUGAGGAAUACAUGGGUAACCUACCCUCGAGUGGGGAAUAACUAGCCGAAAGGUUAGCUAAUACCGCGUACGCUCCUUGGACUUCGGUUCAGGGAGGAAAGCGAUACCGUGGGUAUCGCGCUCUUGGUUGGGCUCAUGUCCUAUCAGCUUGUUGGUGAGGAACGGCUCACCAAGGCUUCGACGGGUAGCUGGUCUGAGAGGACGAUCAGCCACACUGGCACUGCGACACGGGCCAGACUCCUACGGGAGGCAGCAGUGGGGAAUAUUGGACAAUGGGGGCAACCCUGAUCCAGCGACGCCGCGUGGGUGAAGAAGGCCUGCGGGUUGUAAAGCCCUUUCGGUGGGGAAGAAAAGUCUCGACCUAAUACGUCGGGACCUUGACGUAACCCACUAAAGAAGCACCGGCUAACUCUGUGCCAG
rnacentral:rRNA from 1 species